GAUGAACGCUGGCGGCGUGCCUAAUACAUGCAAGUCGAGCGAACGGACGAGAAGCUUGCUUCUCUGAUGUUAGCGGCGGACGGGUGAGUAACACGUGGAUAACCUACCUAUAAGACUGGGAUAACUUCGGGAAACCGUAGCUAAUACCGGAUAAUAUUUUGAACCGCAUGGUUCAAAAGUGAAAAACGGUCUUGCUGUCACUUAUAGAUGGAUCCGCGCUGCAUUAGCUAGUUGGUAAGGUAACGGCUUACCAAGGCAACGAUCCAUAGCCGACCUGAGAGGGUGAUCGGCCACACUGGAACUGAGACACGGUCCAGACUCCUACGGGAGGCAGCAGUAGGGAAUCUUCCGCAAUGGGCGAAAGCCUGACGGAGCAACGCCGCGUGAGUGAUGAAGGUCUUCGGAUCGUAAAACUCUGUUAUUAGGGAAGAACAUAUGUGUAAGUAACUGUGCACAUCUUGACGGUACCUAAUCAGAAAGCCACGGCUAACUACGUG
rnacentral:rRNA from 1 species